rnacentral:lncRNA from 13 species
UAUUUUGUUUGUUCAUUUUGUGACGCCUUCCAACGGGACAGUAAUCAAAAGUAUGUGUGGUAAAAUGUUACUGACAGCACGUGGAUUGAAAGGUCUUUGCCCAUAGAUGGUCAGAUGAUUUUAUGCAUCUUCUUGGAAAGGGUAAGAAAAACUCCAGUGUUGAGGAGUUACUCGGAUUUGAACAGAAUUAUUCAGGGUAAAAUAUGUGCAGAUGUGGAGCUCUUAUCUAUUGCAGUCUUAAAAUUUAUCGCUUUUUUAUUAUUUCAAACUACAUCCUUCUUAAAACAAGAUUCAAGAAAGCCACAGACUUCUUAUUAGUGUAUAUGUAUUUUAUUUUGGGGAGAUUAAUAAUUAUUUUCUGUUUAGAUAAGGCAGAUGAGACAUUGAAUUGCACUCCUGUUAAUAAUUGAAUGUUAAAACAAAUGUACGACUGUGUUCCAGGACUGCAGAAAACAAUGAAUCAUGCAUUUAUUAUUUUAACUGAUAUGGUACAAUCAGCAGGGAACUCUUAUUUAGAGAGCAGGCUAGUGUCUGCUGUGCUGGUUAAAGCCUAAUCCAGGGUCUUGUGUUAUUGCAGCUCGUGGAAUGAGUCUAGUGCAUAGAAAUCAGAGGGCAGAGAGAAAGAGAGCAAGGGAAGAAAAAGAAUGUAUAAAAUACAGAAUCUGUUGGAACUCCUUGAGAUGUCUGUGAUGCUCGGUGUCUACAAAUACACAUCCGUGUAUCAGCCUUUGAUAGCUGGGAGCUGUCUCCUUUCAGCUGGACACAGAGGCCCCCCCAGCUGUGCAGCAGAAGUGAAGAUGUUUUUGACAUACCAGGGACAUGCAUUUUGCCAGAUCCACCCAGACAUCUUGUGCCAGGUUCUGUUACAGUCCACAGACCACACUGGAUGCAGGGUUGCAGUGGAAGUUGAGUGUAUCCUCAAAGAUAUCCAGAAGCUGUGCUGAAUGCAGGUCCACCCAUUCCUUUUGCUUUCUGCAGUAAUUUUUUAUGAUUUUGCACAUAGAGGUCUCCACGUAUUGGACAAUAUUUUGUCUGUUUCUUUAGAGGUACCAGUUGUAAUGUUUU